AUUGAACGCUGGCGGCAUGCUUUACACAUGCAAGUCGAACGGUAACAGGCCUUCGGGUGCUGACGAGUGGCGAACGGGUGAGUAAUGCAUCGGAACGUGCCCAGAGGUGGGGGAUAACGCAGCGAAAGCUGUGCUAAUACCGCAUGUGAUCUGAGGAUGAAAGCGGGGGACCACGCAGCAAUGUUUGGCCUCGCGCGCCUGGAGCGGCCGAUGUCAGAUUAGGUAGUUGGUGGGGUAAAGGCCUACCAAGCCGACGAUCUGUAGCUGGUCUGAGAGGACGACCAGCCACACUGGGACUGAGACACGGCCCAGACUCCUACGGGAGGCAGCAGUGGGGAAUUUUGGACAAUGGGCGCAAGCCUGAUCCAGCAAUGCCGCGUGCGGGAAGAAGGCCUUCGGGUUGUAAACCGCUUUUGUACGGAACGAAAAGGCUCUGGCUAAUACCUGGGGCUGAUGACGGUACCGUAAGAAUAAGCACCGGCUAACUACGUG
rnacentral:rRNA from 1 species